AUGGCAAGCAGCUCCGAUGUCGUUCCUGCCGCUGCAAGGAAGCUGGACGGCAAGGUGGCGCUGAUCACCGGCGGCGCGAGCGGCAUCGGCGAGGGCACGGCGCGGCUGUUCGUGCAGCACGGGGCCAGCGUCGUCCUCGCCGACAUCCAGGACGACCUCGGCGCGCGCCUCUGCGCGGAGCUCGGCCCGGCGGCCUCCAGCUACGUGCGGUGCGACGUCACCAAAGAGGAGGACGUCGCGGCGGCCGUCGACCACACCAUCGCCAGGUUCGGGAAGCUGGACAUCAUGUUCAACAACGCCGGCAUCGGCGGUGCGGCAUGCCACAGCAUCCGGGACAGCACCAAGGAGGACUUCGAGCGCGUGCUGGCCGUCAACCUCGUGGGGCCCUUCCUGGGUACCAAGCACGCGGCGCGGGUCAUGGUGCCCGCGCGGCAAGGCUGCAUCAUCGGGACGUCGAGCCUGGCGUCGGCGGUGGGCGGCGUGGCGUCGCACGCGUACACGUGCGCCAAGCGCGCCCUGGUCGGGCUGACGGAGAACGCGGCGACGGAGCUUGGCCAGCAUGGAAUCCGCGUCAACUGCAUCUCCCCGGCGGCGGCUGCCACGCCGCUGGCCACGGGCUACGUGGGGCUUGACGGCGAGGCGUUCGAGAUGGCCAUGGAGUCCUUUGCUAACCUCAAGGGCGUGGGACUGCGGGUCAAGGACAUCGCCGCCGCCGUGCUCUUUCUCGCCAGCGAUGACGCGCGCUACGUGAGCGGCCACAACCUGCUCAUCGACGGCGGCAUCUCCGUCUCAAACCUUACCUUCGGCAUCUUCAAGGAGUAA
rnacentral:rRNA from 1 species